rnacentral:lncRNA from 1 species
UAGCUGUCCUUGGGAGAGAAAGGAUCAGCGCCCAAAGGGUCUCGAAAGCUAAUUCACCAGCCACACUCAAAGAUCAAAAUCUUGCAGAUGUUUUAGCCUGCCGAUCCCUAUUUGGAAAGGAAGGGACAAUGUGAAACUUUUCCUUCCUCUCCACCAGGCACCACAGAUGGAGACUGGGGAGAGCUGACUUUGGGAACAAUUCUUACCCUUUGCCAACUUCUGCCAGUUUCCCCAGGAUCCCCUCUGCCGGCUCUGGAGGAGUGGGGUGUCCCAGCGGGUCUCAUCCUGGUCACCAGACACCGUAGAGGAGGAAAAAUGGUUUUCUCUCUGCUGUUUGUGACCACCAUGUCCUUGAAAAGUUAAUUUUGUUUCAUCUCUGGAUACAGGAGGCUUCGCAUGACAAUGGAAGUUCAAAGCUUCUCAGGAAAUGGAACCUGCCCCUUGAAUGCCCCUGCCUCCAGGCAAUUCGGCAAAGCUGCAUGGGUUUUUGCAAUUUUAAAACAAAUGUUAAAAUAUA